rnacentral:misc_RNA from 1 species
AAGUCGUAACAAGGUUUCCGUAGGUGAACCUGCGGAAGGAUCAUUACAAAUCUCGCGUUGGUCCGCUGGUCUGGUCUAGGCUGGCUAGGCUGGCUGGCUAGUUUAGCUAGUUAGCUAGUUUGGCUAGUCUGGGCUGGGCUGGUGCGACUGACACAUUGGCUCAAGGCCGCAAGGUCUUGAUGUUUACGCUUGCAUGUUUGACAGAGUUAAAUGGUGAGCUUGAAAAUGACAACUUUUAACAACGGAUCUCUUGGCUCUU